rnacentral:piRNA from 1 species
AAAUGUUAUGAUGAUGGGCGAAAUGUUCAACU